GAUGAACGCUGGCGGCGUGCUUAAUACAUGCAAGUCGAGCGGCAGCAUGACCUUCGGGUUGAUGGCGAGCGGCGGACGGCUGAGUAACGCGUAGGAAUAUACCCCAAAGUGAGGGAUAACUGCCCGAAAGGGUGGCUAAUACCGCAUAUGAUCUUCGGAUUAAAGGAUUUAUCCGCUUUGGGAAUAGCCUGCGUUCGAUUAGCUUGUUGGUGAGGUAAUGGCUCACCAAGGCGACGAUCGAUAGCUGGUCUGAGAGGAUGAUCAGCCACACUGGGACUGAGACACGGCCCAGACACCUACGGGUGGCUG
rnacentral:rRNA from 1 species